GGGGGCCCAGGGCUGUCCGAUGAGAAACCUCCCCCGAGCGCAGACGGGGAACCCACAGCACGUCGCACUAGGCAUCCAGGCAGGGCUGUGGCGCUGCACACCCUCCUGACUCGGGUUCAGGACGGCCCGAAAUAAGAGUCUCUUCCUGAGACCCCGGCCGGAGGGCAGAAACUGGAAAAAUCGCAAAUUCGCUGUACCCGGAGACCCGACCCGCCUCCCACGUCCCCUUCUGCUCUUCGGCUCUGGGCGCGCGGAGAAAGGCAGGAGAAGCGUGCACUGGUGUCAUCGUUUUAAAUAAUAAAGUUUGGGGCACCGUCUGCCUCUCUGAACCCAGAGCCAGCUCCUGGGAAACAGGCAAGGCUUCAGGGUCGCGUGAGCAGGAGGAGAGCCUCCCGGGGCCUGUAGGAGCCACACCACGCAUGGCACCAGCAGCUGCCUGUCCCCCCCGCGUCCAGGGCCUUCGGGCGGCGGAGAGUGAGGAUGCCAGACCUCCCGGCCACCUGCCAAACCUUCGCCACAACCGAGUACACUUCCACAACUCCUCGCGCCAUAAACAAGUCGGUAAAUCAAAGCACAUCUCGUCUGCAAGGCAGGUCCAAAGCUGGUCAGCCUACAGCCGCCAGAAGCAGGACGGACACACCCCUCCGAGAUUGCCAUCGGCCUCCAGAGUCCACAGCCCAGCAGCCUCCACCAUGGGAUGGAGCACUCCAGGCCCAGAGGAAGCCUGGUAAAUCUUUAACCCAAGGAGCAUAUCUUAGAGCAGAAGAGAGGGGAGGAUAAAGAAGCCCCACUCCUGAGCUGGUCGGGAAUGUCAGACAGAACAAGCUUUUCAAAAAGACACUUCUAUUCACUCUGCCCCUACAAGAGGGCUGGAGUGAC